rnacentral:miRNA from 1 species
UUUGCGACCAUAUCCAAGCUCCU